rnacentral:rRNA from 1 species
GACCAACGCUGGCGGCGUGCUUAACACAUGCAAGUCGAACGGAAAGGCCCUGCUUUUGUGGGGUGCUCGAGUGUCGAACGGGUGAGUAACACGUGAGUAACCUGCCCUUGACUUUGGGAUAACUUCAGGAAACUGGGGCUAAUACCGGAUAGGAGCUCCUGCUGCAUGGUGGGGGUUGGAAAGUUUCGGCGGUUGGGGAUGGACUCGCGGCUUAUCAGCUUGUUGGUGGGGUAGUGGCUUACCAAGGCUUUGACGGGUAGCCGGCCUGAGAGGGUGACCGGCCACAUUGGGACUGAGAUACGGCCCAGACUCCUACGGGAGGCAGCAGUGGGGAAUAUUGCACAAUGGGCGGAAGCCUGAUGCAGCAACGCCGCGUGCGGGAUGACGGCCUUCGGGUUGUAAACCGCUUUCGCCUGUGACGAAGCGUGAGUGACGGUAAUGGGUAAAGAAGCACCGGCUAACUACGUG